rnacentral:rRNA from 1 species
GAUGAACGCUGGCGGCGUGCCUAAUACAUGCAAGUCGAGCGAACAGACGAGGAGCUUGCUCCUCUGACGUUAGCGGCGGACGGGUGAGUAACACGUGGAUAACCUACCUAUAAGACUGGGAUAACUUCGGGAAACCGGAGCUAAUACCGGAUAAUCUAUUGAACCGCAUGGUUCAAUAGUGAAAGACGGUUUUGCUGUCACUUAUAGAUGGAUCCGCGCCGCAUUAGCUAGUUGGUAAGGUAACGGCUUACCAAGGCAACGAUGCGUAGCCGACCUGAGAGGGUGAUCGGCCACACUGGAACUGAGACACGGUCCAGACUCCUACGGGAGGCAGCAGUAGGGAAUCUUCCGCAAUGGGCGAAAGCUUUACGGAGCAACGCCGCGUGAGUGAUGAAGGUCUUCGGAUCGGAAAACUCUGUUAUUAGGGAAGAACAAAUGUGUAAGUAACUAUGCACGUCUUGACGGUACCUAAUCAGAAAGCCACGGCUAACUACGUG